AAAGGACCAGCUGACAUCAUGUCAGUGAUUCUCUCGUUAACACAGGUGAGUGUUGGCGAGGACAAGGCUGGAGAUCACCCUGUCAUGCUGAUUGAGUUAGAAUAACAGACU